rnacentral:sRNA from 1 species
AUUCUUGGGCGUGGGGUCGAUUCCUCUGCCACAGUGUACAAUCAGUAGGGUGGUUUGGUUUGGGUGCUCGGGUUAGUGGCAACAGGGGCCAUGAAGUGAGAAACAGCAGGAGGGGGGGGAUAGGGGUAUUGGAACCAA